UUUUAAUAUAUGUUACUUAUAUUUUGUACGUCUUAACAGUUUUAUCAAAGUUAAACAUGGAAAAUGUUUAUGAACCUUUUCUUAAAAAAGGGAGUCAGAUGAAGUGCGAUAGGGUCUUUGAACAUGUAAGUAUAAAAAAGGACAACUAUGUCAAUAAGGAUAGUACUAACAACACUAGUGGCAAUAAUACCAGUAGUAGCAAUAAUACCAGUAGUAGCAAUAAUACCAGUAGUGGUAAUAAUAUCAGUAGUAGCAAUAAUACCAGUAGUGGUAAUAACAAUAUAGGUACGAAUGAUCAUAACACAGAUCUUCAUAAAGAUCGUAGCGACUAUAAUGAUGACAACAGAGAUAGCAACUCAAAUAGUAAUAAUAAGAAGGACGAUCAAAAGAAAAGUAACAAUUUUCAAGAGGCACAGAUAGUGGAGAAGGACGUAACAUACAACCAAUUUGAUAGUAAAAUUAAAACACAACUUAAUAACAGUAAUAAGGACAAUGGUAGUGUUGAUACGGGUAACUCUAGUAGUGACAUGCACAGUGGUGUUAACAGUAAUAAUUAUAAUAAUGCUUCUUUAAAACAUAGAUGUGAGAUAUGGAUGUAUUUGGAUAUAAUCCGUACUAUCAAAAGGAAUUACGUAAAAUUUAAUAAUAAUAUAUAUUUAUUACCUUUGAGUUAUUAUUUUAUAAAUAUGAGCAAACAGAUUAAGCAAUAUUUAGAAGAAAGGAUGGCACAUCGAAAAGGUAAUAAAAAGGAUGAUACGGAUAGGGUUUAUAAAAAUGGAAUUGCACAUGAUAACAACUGCAAUGACAGCUCUUAUGACAGCUGCAUUGGUAGCUGCAUUGACAACUGUGAUGACAUCUUAGAUACCAAUUUAAAUAAUAAAAGUGAAACUAUUAAACAAAAAAUGAAUAGUCAUAAUAAUAACACAUCGUCAAUAGAGAUAAAUUUAACUGAUAAAAUCCAAGACAAAAAUUUAUUUAUAAACAUAAAUAACAAGUUUACUUCAUUAUAUCCAACAUGUAAACAUAUACACGUUCCUAACAUAUAUGUUGAUGAACAUAUUAGAAACAAUUCAUCUGCAGGUGCUAUUACUACAGGCGAUGGAACUACCGAUUGUGAAAACAAACAAAUUAAUAUAAAUGACAAAAAAAAAUU
rnacentral:lncRNA from 1 species